AUCUACAAAGGGAACCCCAUUAGGCUAACAGCAGAUCUCUCAGCUGAAAUCCUACAAGCCAGAAGGGAUUGGGGGACUAUAUUUAACAUUAUUAAAGAAAAUCUUCAACCAAGAAUUUCAUAUACAGCUAAACUAAGCUUUCUAAAUGAAGGAGAAAUGAGAUCAUUUACAGACAAGCAAAUUCUGAGCACUAUUCACAAUAGCAAAGACAUGGAAUCAGCCCAAAUGUCCAUCAAUGAUAGACUGGAUAAAGAAAAUGUGAUACAUAUACACCAUGGAAUACUAUGCAGCCAUAAAAAGGAAUGAGAUCAUGUCUUUUGCAGGGACAUGGAUGAAGCUGGAAGCCAUAAACUUCAGCUAAUUAACACAGGAACAGGAAACCAAACACCACAUGUUCUCAUAAGUGGGAACCGAACAAUGAGAACACAUGGACACAGGGAGGGGCAGAACACACACCGGAGCCUGUUGGGAAGUUUCUCCACAGACACUACCCAAAGCAGUGCUUCACUACAGUGGCAGACAGACCUGAAAAUUUUCAUCUGAAGCAGCAGAGUGAACUGCAGAGGCAGGUCACCAACCAGUGUGGAGGCUAAAAGCGGGCCUCUUUGGGGAUUCCAGGUGGAAGUGUUGGACAUCUGUAGUAUUCCUGGUCUCGAAUCAUCCUGAUAUUCUUCAUUUUGUUAUUCACAUUGGACUAGGAGAUAGAAUCUCACUAUGUUGACCAGGCUGGUCUUGAACUCUUGGCACCCAAGCGAUCCUUUUGCCUGGAAUCCCAAAGUGUCAGAUUUACUGAAGAAUAUUUCAUUGUAAUUACUUUUUAUACUUUAUAGGUCAAGAGCUCUGUUUUAAAUACAAAAUUUAUUGAAUAUACUUUU
rnacentral:lncRNA from 10 species